UAAAGGGAUGCCAGCCGCCGCGGUACCUCUGGGUACCUGCCUGUAGACUGGGAUAAUCUCCGGGAAACCGGAGCUAAUACCGGAUAGUUCCUUGAACCGCAUGGUUCAAGGAUGAAAGACGGUUUCGGCUGUCACUUACAGAUGGACCCGCGGCGCAUUAGCUAGUUGGUGAGGUAACGGCUCACCAAGGCGACGAUGCGUAGCCGACCUGAGAGGGUGAUCGGCCACACUGGGACUGAGACACGGCCCAGACUCCUACGGGAGGCAGCAGUAGGGAAUCUUCCGCAAUGGACGAAAGUCUGACGGAGCAACGCCGCGUGAGUGAUGAAGGUUUUCGGAUCGUAAAGCUCUGUUGUUAGGGAAGAACAAGUGCAAGAGUAACUGCUUGCACCAUGACGGUACCUAACCAGAAAGCCACGGCUAACUACGUGCCAGCCGUCGCGG
rnacentral:rRNA from 1 species